GAGGGUAUAGCUCAGUGGUAGAGUGCAUGCCUAGCAUGCACAAGAUCCCAGGUUCAGUCCCAGGUACCUCCA
rnacentral:tRNA from 1 species